AGUGGCAGUGGUGGCGGAUAUGGCAGUGGCGGUGGUGGUGGAUAUGGCAGUGGUGGUGGAUAUGGAGGUGGAUAUGACACUGGCCUCGGGGGUGGGUAUGGAGGUAGCAGUGGAGGUUCCUUUUAUGGAAGUAGAGGGGGAUAUGGUGGUGCGGGUAGUGGUAGAUACCACCCUUAUGGGAGGUAGAAGGCUCUUGUGGAAAGAUUUUUGGGAUUGAAGUGCAACGGCCAAGUGAAGUUGUUGUCACAACUGUAAUGUUUGAGCUAGUUGUCAAAUUCUGUAGCUUGUGCUCUUAGGUCUCUUUAGUUUGGCAAGUUGGUGCCUGGGAUUUUUUCACUGAAUGUUCAAUCAUCUAGG
rnacentral:misc_RNA from 1 species